GAUUGGUGAUGGGGUGGACACGGGACCGAAGCUGAGCCAAUCAAAGUCCUUCCCUUUGAAACAGGACUGGAUAGAGGAAAACUUACUGGCAUCAUCACAAAACGGAAAGACGGUAAGCCUGCACCUGCCAGAGGUCGUGAUCCCAGCGUCCCGGGAACAGUCUAAGGAGGAGCCAACAAAUCCCCCUUCCUGAUUUCACCUGGUUUGAGCUGGGUUUCUGUCACUUGCGACCAAAAAAUCCCGACUGAUACACCUCAGCAUGAACGUACCUCGGCAGGAUUUGAGAGUUUUUGAGAUAAUGGGGGAAAUUUGAACACAGUCUGGAUAUUAUGUGACGUUAAGACAUUAUUAUUGCUUUACUUAAGCGUGAUAGUGGUAUUAUGGUUAUUUUAAAAAAUAUUUAUCUGUUAAGAAUACAUACUGAAGUAUUUCGGGGUGAAAUGAUUCAGUGUCUAGGAUUUGCUUUAAAAUAUCCCAGCAUCUGUGUCCCCCACUACCCCUAUAAAAGAGGGUAAGAUUUAUGAAAAAAGAAGGUCAGAUUGAUGAUAAUUAUAGAAGCUGGGAGAGGGUGUGUGGGAGUUUCUUAUCCUAUUCUCAAGUUUGAAAUAAUUCCAUUAAUGAAAAGUGAAAAAUAAAUAAGAAAAAUGACUAAGAAAGAAAGGGAAGGAAAGCUCUUCCUCGGAGAGGAAGCAAUGGUUUAGGAUUGAUGGGAAAGGAGAAGAAAGCAGAACAGCUCAUUCGUUCACUCAUUCAUCGAAUUCGACCCCCGCCGUGGGCUGGCGCUGAGCCCUGUGCUGGACACACGGGAAAACAGGACGUUGGUCGCCCCGCGCUCAGGGGGCUCCCGGCCGAGCAGAGACCAGGAGUAAAUUAUGCCGGGUUUGUGCAGUUCACAGAAGGCCGGGCACCGUGAGGACAGAAGCGGUUUUUCUCCAUCCCGGCCGGUUUGAAAGGGAAGGGCUUUGAUUGGCCCGGCCUCUGUCCAGUGCCCACCCGACCACCAAUCGCUGUGUCCAGGGGGCGAGGCCGGAGGCCACCGCGGGCUGAGUAGACCUGGAUGAAUCCCGCCGCGGGAGGCCCCUGGCCGGUUUGCAGGGAGCGGUGUGCGCUGGAAGGAAGAGGGACCUGGAGGCGAGGGACAGAACAGCCUCUGCCGGGGCCUUUGCCUUCGUGGAAAGAGGAAAGCCAUGUUACUCGGGGAUCAUCAUAGCUCUCAGAUUCCGAAAGCUUACGGUAUUAAGCGCUUCGUGUACAUCAUUUCGCGUGAUCCUCCAAACGCAGCUCUUUAAGGCAGAGACUGACCUUAUCCCCACUUUACAUUUGGAGAAACCGAGGCACAGAGCAGUUAAGCAGCUGCAGUGUUUGCAUCUGGUCACUGGAUUUUCCACGGCCGAGCGCCUGGUCUCUGCCGUCCACUGCCGCACAGAGGCAGCUGUGCAGGGGCCAGAUGUGUCCAGAUGGUCUCAUCAAGAUUUCUACCCUCAACUUGCUUAAAUCCUUCUUCAAGAAAAAGUGUCCUUGACAAAUAAGCAGAAGGAGGGGCGAGGGAGGGGGCAGGAGGGUGUGCAGACGAGGGUCACCCAACCCACAGCCACCGUGUGCAUUUUUGAUGCCCGGAAAAUUCCCGGAACUGGCCAGAGCUGCUGGGUGGAGAAGUGGGCAGUGGCCGCACGGUGCAGGGGCUGUGCCAGCUUCUGGACAGAGAAGCUACAACCCCUUCCCCUCCACCUUUUCCUCAGGGGGGCUCCUGACAGAGGCAGAGGACGUGGACACGGGGGGCCCGGAAAUGCCCCCUGUCCGGGGCUCAGGUCUGCUUCCUUGGGUCAUGGGACCGUGGCUGCUUCCCCUGUGGCAGCGGCACGCGACUGAGGCUGAAGCUUUCCUGCAGGCUUGCCCUUCCUCCCCCGGACUUCCUGGUCUGCCCAGGGAGAGUCCAGAGAGAGGAGCUGCGAAGAGAGGAAAGGGGCUGGGCGUAACAUCGCACGUGUGGCUGCGCUUGCUAGUGCAGCGACAACAGUGCCGUGUGGUGCACGCGGGGGCUCUGCAGCCAAAAAUGCCUGGACCCCGACUCGGCCUUGCAGCUUUCUAGCUGUGUGAUCUUGGCGGGGUUAAACAACCUCUCUUGACUCCAAUCUCUCUGCAAAAUGGAAGGAAUACUGGUGCAUCUGUCACAGGGGUGUCAUGAGGAUGAAUAAGCUAGUGCAUCAAACACACCGGCAGCAGCACCUGGCUGGAGUAAGUACUCAGUAAAAGAUCCUGCUACUCUCAGUACCCAGGUGAGUUCACGUUUCAGCACUAAGCCCAGGGGGCCCCAGAGGUGCAGUAACCACUUAAGGAAUGAAUGAAUGAAUGAAUGAAUGAAUGAGCUAAUUAAUCAACGUUUUCUGAAUUAAACUGCUUGUUCAUUUAUUCAAAAGCACGUUCAAUUCCAACGCUUGCUCAGAUAGAUGAGAUCUCAUACCAAGUAUGAAUCCUUGGGAACAGCUUAAGUUUCUCUGGUUUGCUCCGAAACCAAAACACAGGUGAUGGUAAGGCCUUAUGAGUGCUAAUUGUGGUAGACAGAAUUCUAAGAUGGCCCCAAGAUUCUCUCCCCUGUGGCACAUGUCCUGUGUAACCGCCUUGCCCUGAGUGUGGGCAGGACCUGUGAAUAAGACGGGAUGUUGCCCCGUGAUUAUGUUACGUUAUAGGGCAAAGGUGAGGGUAUUUUGCAGAUGUAAUAAGGUCUUGGAUCAGUUGACUGAGUACAUCAAAAGGAGGUCGUCCUGAGUGGGCCUGACCUAAUCAGGUGAGCCUUUUAAAAGAGGCUCCAGAGAUCAGGGACAGAAGCGGUCAGAGAUUCCCAGCAGCAGCGCACUUCUGCUGUCCUGGAAGGAGCAGCCACCCUGAGUCCCCCAGCUGCAAAGAAAUGAAUUUUGCCAACAAGCGCGUGAGCUCGGGAGAGGGCCCCAAGCCCCCAGAGAAAGCCCAGCCCCAGCCAACACCUCGAUGGUGCCCCUGGGAGGCUCUGAGCAGAGGGCAGUGCAGCGCGGCACCUGGAAUCCUGAGCCCAAACACAGUGAGACCAUAAACGCGAGAGAAUAAUCGGGCGCUGUCUUAAACCUCUAGGUUUCUGUGGUAGUUUGUCAGGCAGCGAUGGAAAACGAACACACCACCCGUCUCUGCCAUUUUUCAAGGCUCACUCUGCCAAGCGUGGUAUGCUAAUGUUCUCGACCACUGGAGAAGGUUCCGAUGACAUCUGAGGCCUGGAGAAGUCACACAAGUUGCCCACGGCUAUUUGGCAGUGGAGGCAAAAUUUAAACCCAGGUGGUCUGCCACCAGGGCCCCCUCUCAGUUCCUGAGGCCGGCAAUAUUUUAAAAUAAAUAUGAAAACAUAGGCGUGAAAAGUUCUGAAAGGGUGCGCGUGCGCAUGCUGAGAUGAGAGGGGAUGGUUGGCUUCUGUGCUUUUCCUACAAUUUCUCAUUUCUUUUACAGUGAAUAUUAUCUUUUUUAACAGUCAGGUACAAAUACUUGGCAGCCAUGGUGACAAUCUCUGAGUGGUGGGGUUACAGGCCACUUUUUUUAUUUCAUUCUUUUAUAUUAUCUCAAUUCUCUAUGACAAUCUCAAUUGUUCACAAGAAAUGUGUGGCUGGUGCAAUUUUGAAAAUGUGCACGCCAGAGAAGACAAGUGAAUGCAUUUCAGAAUGCGAAAGCAGAAGGGGAAAAGGUGACAGUGCGGGGGGCCUGGCCCCAGACACUUGGCAGAAAGAGGGCUGGGGGCUGGAGCUUGAGCAAAGCUAGGGUCUCCUUCUAACAUGAAAUGUGGCUUCAGACCUUCCAGAAGAGGUGACUGUCUCACUGGCCCACCAACUGGGCUUUUGGUAAACAUUUGUAGCUACUUCUGCAAAUGUUGUCACCUGAAACUUUGUUAUUUUAAUUGGUAGCUCUUUCUGUGGGCUCCAGCUUGGAGAACAAAAGCUGUUCAGAAAUCGGGGCUGCAGGCAACUUUUCUCCUUGAAGGGAAAGUGGGGAAAGGUCUGUCUGUUCUCCAGCCCCAGCAAGCACGCUCCAGAGAGAGCUGACAUGUUGGUUUAACACCAACCAUUAAUUACUGAGUGCUUAUGGGCCCCAAGCUCUGUGCUCGGCCUUUCCGUGGAGUCUCUCAUUUGAUCCUCCCACAUCUGUACGAAGGGAGUCCUAGCACUGUUCCCAUUUCACAGAUGAGAAAGUGGAGGCUUAAGGAGAUCAAGUAAUAAUAAUAAUAAUACCAUAUUUCAUUAAAUCCCAGACACUCUAUAAUUUUAUGUGACACUAAGAAAAAAAUACCCCAGCUAUCAUUGUAAGACAGUAUUGACUAUAAGAUGAAUCCUGAUUCUAGAGACAUUAAAAUAUGCAUCUAAAAAACCUACGGCUAAAUGCAACGUGGUAUCUUGGGUUGGAUUCCAGAAUAGGAAUGAAGGACAUUCAUGGAAAAACUGGUGAAAUCCAAAAAUUCAUAGAACUGUACACCUAAAAAGGGUAGAUUUUAUUCUAUGUAAAUUAUUCCUCAAUAAACCUGACUUUUAAAAAAAAUGUGAGCCCCACGUAAGAUCUGGCUUAUAAUUGUGUGUUAUUUGGCCCAAGUAAUUGUUUCUUGAGUAAAUUUGAAUUCAUUAUCAUCAUUCAGAAAUCAGGAGAUUUCAUCUAAAACUGUGUAUAUCCACUUUUCUUGAAAAAUCGGAGGCUCUGCAAACAAUGGCUGCUCUUUCUCACAUUGUUAAGUAUUGGUUGGGUGUGAUUGGCAGCUACCCAGAGAGAGAAUACGAGCUCUCCAGUUUGCCCCAGUCCCCACCCCUCCCCAUUGCCUCUCUGCUUCUGAAGCCUACCUCGUGAAUGUGAGGACACCUGCCUGUGGGCAUGUGAGGUUGUGACUCUUGCUUUAAACCCUGCAUGCAUGACAGCUUCAGAAAAAGGAAAACAAAAAACAAAAUCAGAGGCUUGGACUGUUUGUCCCUCUUUACACAUUUUCUGCACCCUUUACCCCCUGCCUCUGGCAACCACAAAUCUCAUCUCUUUACCAUGAAUUUGGUUUCUUCAGAUUCCACAUCUAAGGGACAUCAUACAGUAUUUGUCUUUCUCUGACAUAUUUCACUUAGCAUAAUGCCCUCAAGGUCCGUCCGCGUUGCCUUCUUUUGUUUGUUUGUUUAACCCAGUUUGAGUUUCCUUUCUGUCACUUGCAACCAAGAGUCCUGACUUGGUUGACUUUCUGCCACUCAGCUAGACUCGGAUCACCUCUUACGUGAAAAUGAAUUCCCCCGCUCGCUGAUACACCUGGUGCAGCCUCUCUUUCCAGGACGAGCUUUAGGUCUGCACGCUGGAGGCAAGGAGGAGCCAGACGUGCCCAGCAGGGCCCUGCUCAUAAUCCCCUCAGAAAGGUUAAGGACUAAUUUCUGCAGCAUCAAAGCAGAGACGGCAGCCUAAUGUGUCAGAUUCUGCUGGAGGAGAUUCCUCCGCGGGCGGAGCAGCGAGCUUUCGGGCGGCAAACCGCCCUCCCGUAAGAGGUCACUGUGCACGCAGACCUGCCUGGACAGGCUGCCACUCACUUCAACACUGGUCUUUUCAGGCCCUGAAAAGGAUUCCUUUAUUCAAGACUUUUGAAGGAAGACACACCCUUUUCUUCCUGGCUGUGCCCUUAUUUGGAUUCAGUCCCUCGGCAGCUUCACAGAUGGAGAAGCACGUUGUUCCUGCGACUCGGCCCGGCUCUGCUGGAGAUGGACCAAGAGAGACAGCGGGUGUGCUCCAGAAUAGCCCUUAAUGACCAAGUCCGCGGUCCACAUCGGUCAGAGGCCUGAAGCAAGUCCCAGCAUUGCAAAGGAGUGGCCCGGAGUCGAGCCCAGCCCACAGUCCCUGUUCGGUCCACAAAGUCUCCCUUCUGUGUCUAAAUUUGAAGCCAGCAUCUAAAAGACGUGAGAUCUCACACAACAAUCUGCAUUCCUGCUCUCUCAUAAAGCGAAGACCUGGCACCAUGGAGCCCACAUGCCCAGGUGGAGCCCCUGGGUGGAGCCGAGGAGUGGCUGCCAGCCUUCCAGGCAGCGGGUGCGCACCACGUGGCCACGUCCCCCCUCGGCCUGCCUCAUCUUCCUGCCUGGCCCCCAUAGGAAUUUGGGCUUGUGGUCCAGAGGGAGCCCAUUCCAAACUGGUCUUGUCCUCAUCUCCCAGACCCACCAGGCUCAGUCACGCUUCUCUCACCUCCAGGGCCUUGGCAUGUGCACCCCGGCCUGCACUGCUCGCCCCCCGGAGCCUUCCAUGGCCCAGACAGUUUUCUGCUUAAAUAUCAUCUCCUUGGCAUGACUCUCUCUUCUUUUCUUCUUUCCCUUUUUUCUUUCAUUGUUUCCUGAUCUUUUGGUCUUCUUUACUCUUUCCUUCUUUCUCUCUCUCCUUUUUCUCUCUCCUUCUCCCCUCCUACCCCCCUCCCUCCCUUCUUCCUAUUUUCUUCUCCUCAGCAUCAUUAUCAGAGGCACUAAAACUGUACAUUUCCAUUCGUGUUACCCCAUGGAGGAGACACUCAAUCAUCCCCUUCUGCCCACUCACAUUUGUCUUUCUGACUAAUAAAACCAACAAAUUCCAUUUUUACAAAGGAAAGGUGCCUUUGCAAAGAGAUCAUCUGCUUUUGUCUGAAGCAUCGCCAACUUCCAUUGGCUCCCAGAGCCUCUGCACGCCCCAGACCCUGAGGUCAGGACCCCAGCAGAAAGGAGAACUUCUGGAGACUUCCAAAGCCUGCAAUGAGGCAAAGGACAUUAAUAUCUACAGUCACCUUCAUGCCACACCCCCUUCCCCCAAACACACAAGCCCCUCUCCCCAACACACACACCCAAAGAAAAAUGAUGCUCCACGCACCCCCUCUGUGUAUUGUUUUCUCUCUAAAAAUAGUAUCUGGGGCUCCCAGCGGCUCUCCUGUUCUCACCCCAGGAGAUGGGAGGACCCACAGGCUUGGCAUGGAUGAGGGUGGCAGGAGAGGGGGUGCCCAAAAGUGAAACGGUGGGGAGUAGGGGGAACCCCCUUUUCAACAGAGCCCUGCUUAUUUCACUCUUAUGAAAGCGUGAGUGCUCGCCUCGCCAUCUAACCUCAGGCCAGAGCGUGCAAGCGGCCCUCUCGCUCAGCCACACUCUCCCCUCUCCUGACGCGCACACACUUUGCUGCCACUGAGGCAGAACAAACUUAAGAAACUGUGUCCACAGCAGGGCGGGCUUGCCUGGACCAUAGGGAUGUCAACGUGCAGGUCUGAAUUCUCCAAACGCUGCCGGGAAACCAACACAAUGGGCUCAGCUCCCUCCACGUGUUGCAGCCUGCCUGCAAGGAUGGCAAACUCCGACUUUCUUUUCCAACUUUUCAUCUAAAGCAAGGAAAGGAAAAGGCGAAAGCAGCCCACCAGCCCGACAUGGUCUCCUCGCACAGGCUCCGAGGCUCACACGCUCCUUGGAGGUGGGCUGGUGGGCCCUGAGCUGUGCACUCCUGCUCCUCAGAGGCGCCCACCCACCCGGGGGCUCCAGGGCUGGGUCCGCCCAUCUGCUCCCUGGCCGGGCACACGCCAGAACGACUCCCGGUGAGUCAUCACCCUUGGAGGUUCAAAGACGUGCCUCGCAUGAGUCCACCCGAGCUUCCACAGCACCAAACAGGAGCUGCGGUGACAGCGGUCCAGUGAGCGCGGGGAGCCGAAAGGGCCGUCAGCAGUGUCCUGGGCGCCUGACGGGUGGGGGCACGACACGUCCAUGUCAUUUCCUUGGACUGCUGCUGACCCACCUCAGUGUAGUGGGCUGCAUAGUGCCCCCCCCCCCAAAUUCAUGUCCACCUGGGACCUCAGAACGUGGCCUUAUUUGGAAACAGGGUGUUUGCAGAUACAGUUAAGCUAAGGAUAGAAAUAGGAUUAUCUUGGAUUAGGCUCGGCCCUAAACCCAAGGAGGCUGUCCUUAUAAGAGACAGAAGAGGUCACACAGAGACACACAGAGGGGAAGGCCGUGUGAAGACAGAGGCAGACUGGAGAGAUGCGGCCACAAGCCAAGGAACUCCAGGGAAGGCUGGCAACCCCCGCAAGCUGGGGGAGGAGUAUGGGCUGUUUCCCCCUCAGAGUCUCCAGAAAGAACCGACACUGCCAGCACCUUAAUUUUUGACUUCUGGCCUCCAGGACUUUGAGAGAAUAAGUUUCUGCUGCUUUAAGCACCCGGUUAGCGGCAACUUGUUACGGCAGCCACACGACACUGAUAUACUCAGGGAGCAAAAGAACAUUCCUCCAUAUUUAUCUGUGGGGCAAAACGCCCUUUUAGGGGGUGGAUGAGGGUCAGCAAGCCUAGGUCUAGAAAUAGUUCAAUAAUUUGGCAUCUCACUGUCCUCCUCGUCACCAUGAUAACGAUCACCAACAUCAUUACCAUCACCAUUGCCAUCAUCACCGUCACCACCAUCAUCACCAUUGCCAUCAUCACCAUCACCACCAUCAUCCCAUCGUCAUCACCGUCACCAUCCCCAUUACCAUCAUCACCAUCAUCAUCACCACCACCACUGCCAUCACCAUCACCAUCAUCACCACCAUCAUCAUCACCAUCACCACCAUCAUCACCAUUGCCAGCAUCACCAUCAGCCCAUCACCAUCACCGCCAUCAUCCCAUCAUCACCAUCGCAGGCGUCAUCUAGUGAGCAUGUACUACAUGCUGUGUGCUAGGUACUAUACAUCCUUUCUCCAAUCUUCCCAAUAAUGAUACAGGGAGGCUUUAAAUGCUUUCAUUUUCCAGAUAGGAAACUAAGACCUGAGAGAUUAAAUGACUUGCCCUGGAAUUCUGAGCCCAGACAGCCAAAUCGGCACUCCACACGGUUACUAGCUGUGUGCCCUUUGGCAGAUUCCUUACCUGGCUCAUCCUCAAAUCCCACACAGAGGUGCCCACUUGACAGAGUUCUCACGGGGGGAAUGAGAUGAUGGAUAUAAAGCACUUGGCCCCCCAUAUAUGAUGCUCUUGCUGUUGUCAUGCUCUUGCCCCAUCAGCUGCCAGAGGAGGAAGGGGGCCUCUUCGUCUCCAACCCCAGCCACAUUAUCAACUCCCUGCCCGGCCCUGGAAAUAUCAGAAUGGCAGGAACAGGAGCUAUAAGGCCCCCUAGGAAACCUCCCUAGCUCGCCCACAGACAUCCCACAGUGCCCCCUGCGGCCCCUUCAAAACCGAAAUCCAAGCAAGUCCCAUACCCCAGGACAGGACUGGCCACAUAAUUUGCAGUGCCAAGUGCAAAUGUUAAAAACUUAUUAAGAAUUUCAGGACACUGACACAGAGCAUUAAGUCAAGCACAGGCCUUCUUGAGCACAGGGCCCUGUGUGCAGCCAGCCCUGCCCAAGGGCCCUGCUGACCUUCAGGCUCACUCACCCGGGCCCUUUUCUGUGCUCCAUGUAUUGGGGUGACACCUGCUUUCUCCCUGCGACCCCCUCCCCAGGCUGGAGGUCUGCGCUGUUGAGCGCCCUGACGUCGGGGUGAAAACGAAUCUCCUGAGGGGUUGGGAGCAGAGCUCUGGCACGUAGUCAGGCUGUGGGAGCUGGCACAAGGGUAGGACCACUGAUGAGACCACAAAACAUCAGCCAGCCCGCCACACACCCCACUGAAAAAUGUAAGUCAACACAGACCCGGCCCUUUCUGCCUGGGGCUUCAAGCCGCAGCCUGCCUAAUCCUGGGUUUGAUCUCGUCUGAUUAACCUGAUCUGAUGCACAGAAAGGGACAGUGGGUGAACCCCAGCCAUGCCCCUGAUUAAGCUUUCUCUGGGAGCUGUAUGAAGAAGUAGCCAACAUUGGUUCUGCAGUUUAACUUCCACAAGGAGCGCGGCUGUCAGGCAGGCACAGAGAAGGGCAGGUGGCCUGGGGACGCUGGCGAGCAAGGACAGGCUCCGGGCCCUAGAAGAUCAGCAACAGAGUCAGGCAGGGGGGUACCAUUUGUACUACACAGAUAAAUUGCAAUUUAUUGCAUCCCUUCCAUUUAUCCAGGAUUUGGCUAAGGCAGGAGCUGGCAAACUUUUUCUGUAAAGAGCUCGCUAGUAAAUAUUUUAGGCUUCGCGAGUCAUAUGGUCUGUGGCAGCUACUCAGCUCUGCCUUUAUACGCACACAGUCUGCAGUGCUGCAGACAGAGUGUAAAUGAAUGUGUGUGGCUGGGCUCCAAUAACACUUUAUUCACAAAAGCAGGUGGCUGGUAGCUUUGUCCCACAGGCUGCAGUAUCCCAACCCCUGGACUGUGAUUUCAUACGUACGUCAUUUAAUCACCUCCCCACAGUUGCUCCCACCUCCAGGCCUCACUAAUGCCCACCCUUGCCUCCCCCAACAAGUCUAUUUGCUCACUGUGGUGAACUCAGCACCUAGAAAAAUAGAUGCUCAAUAAGGAUUGAUUAAAUGAAGUAAGUAUUUCAUCCCCAGCUAGCAGAUAAAAAACACUGAGUUUUACAGAGAAGUAACUCACCUCAGGUUACAAAGCUAGAAAAAGAAAGACCUAGCUCUUGAGAGAUUUUGCUCAGGGAAUUUGUUGUGUAAAACACAGGGCUUGCAAAUACAAAUGCUUACAGAGGUCAAAUGGGUAAUGGGAAUGAAUGAAGUGGGUUAGGGGUAAGGUGAUAGGGAGGGGUGGAGACUGUGGCAAACUGGAGCAUGACAUUCUGCCUAAAGGGGUUGCUGUUCCUCAGCUCCAGCCAAUUGUGGCCAUGUGCGACUCUGGGGCCAGCAGGGCCAGAUCUUCUGGUUUUCCUAGAGAAGCCGGAAAUUCGUGCUUUCAUGUGAAAUAUUCCAGUUCUUAAACGUUGGCAAGCAUUUGUUUUUCUUUUUUCCCAAACUCCAUGCUGCCAAAGAGAGCAUGCCAUCGUUUUGUGGCCUCCGGCUUAAAACUAUUAAACACUUGAAAAGUUUUGUCCGUGAACCUGUCUUCUUCAGUGCACCAGUUGGUCAAGCUACACAGCCAGCCCUUGGAUUGCCGGAUGCACGGCAUUAGAAAUUGGCAGCAAGACUGAGCCACUUGCUCCAGAACAUUCCCCAACCCUAAUUUCUUAACAUGUAGAAAAAUCAGAACCAAAGUCAUGUUCUGGUUACGGAAACAAGUUUCCUUUUCUAAUUUUUAACAUUCUCCUGAAAAGGCAAAUGUGGUCCCUGAAGAUGUGGAAAUCCCUGAAAUCCCCUGUCUUUCCACGAAGAUCAGGGCCCACACCUACGUGGGGCUAACCCCACAAGAAGAUCCUGGGUGCCUCCCCAUUUGUCCAAGGGCGAAUACUUUCUCCUGGGUGGUGCACAUCUGUGGUUUAUUUCUGCCCAAUUCUCCUCCCCACUCUGGUAAAGGACUCCCUCCUGUCUUUGGGGAGUUGCCCCUCCUCCCACGUUGUUCUGGUUGGGCUGUCAAUCAUACACUGCCCCACCACCCCAGGCCUGGCCAAUCACAGUAUUCCAUCUCCCUGGCCAUUCUGAUUGGCCUAAGCAGAUGCACAUGAUCCAGGCUGGACCAAUCAGAGCCCUCCCAUAGGAUUUUAUAGGCAGAUCCUGAGAAAUCUAAGCUUUCUACUGCCUCUGUGCUUGCUUGUGUGUAAGCCUGGUUGUGUCAAUGUCCAUGACCCUCCCCACCUUUGCACAGCUACACAAAGGAAGUCCUUCUGUGAAGAACAGCAAGAGGCCAGAUAGAGAGAGAGAAAGAGAGAGGAGGCGGAAAAAAGAGAGUUCUGAUGACAACAUAUGAAUCUAUCCUUGUGCUUCCCAAUUCUGUGAGCCAAACAGUGUCCUUUUUUGGCUUUAACUAGUUUUGAUUGGGGUUUGGUCCCAGAAACCAAAAAACUGUGUCUCCUAAAUGCCCCAUUGGUGUUAAUGAUAGCCUAACUCUAGCCCACUCCUCUGAGCAAGCUUAAGAUCAAAGAAGUCAAUUCCUUCCAGAAAUCAGUCUCACAGGAAGAAUUAAAGAGAGAUGGCCAAUUGGCUGGGUCCCCCUUCAGCAUUUUAAGACUACCAGUACUUCAUAAACAUGUCUGCCAAAUUACUCCUAAUUGAAGAGAAAAAGCAAACAAGUUAUCUGAGAGUCUGGAUGAGUUGGCUGGAGGAGGCUUCCCAUUUUUUUGAAGUCCUGUGUUUUAACUUAAAAAUCUAUGAAGUUUG
rnacentral:lncRNA from 1 species